AAUAGAUACCCUGGUAGUCCACGCCGUAAACGAUGGGCACUAGGUGCUUGGGGGAGCGACCCCCUGAGUGCCGGCGCUAACGCAUUAAGUGCCCCGCCUGGGGAGUACGGCCGCAAGGCUGAAACUCAAAGGAAUUGACGGGGGCCCGCACAAGCGGUGGAGCAUGUGGUUUAAUUCGACGCAACGCGAAGAACCUUACCUGGGCUUGACAUGCACGGGAAACCUUCCAGAAAGGGAAGGCCCUCUUCGGAGUCCGUGCACAGGUGCUGCAUGGCUGUCGUCAGCUCGUGUCGUGAGAUGUUGGGUUAAGUCCCGCAACGAGCGCAACCCCCGUUCCUAGUUACCAGCGGGUUAUGCCGGGAACUCUAGGAAGACUGCCGGUGCCAAACCGGAGGAAGGUGGGGAUGACGUCAAGUCAUCAUGCCCCUUAUGUCCAGGGCUUCACGCAUGCUACAAUGGCCGGUACAAUGGGCUGCGAUACCGUGGGGUGGAGCGAAUCCCAAAAAGCCGGUCUCAGUUCGGAUCGGGGUCUGCAACUCGACCCGUG
rnacentral:rRNA from 1 species